rnacentral:rRNA from 1 species
GUGCUAGCUCUAGUCUACAGGAGUAGUGUUGUGCCUCUCAAGGCCAUACUCAUUUCUGUUCCUCAGGAAAGAACGGAAAAAAGAGGAAGAAACUCACAUGUGCAACCUGCAAAGACUGAACUUUGCUCUGCACUUCUGUAGCUACCUUUUCUUUCAGCACUGACCUCUUUUCAAAUGGAAUAUUACUUGGGAAUAGUAAAGGUCUUGAGCCGUAGCCAGUGCUGGCAACAGCCCUGUUUCACUCUGC